AAGCAGAAGAGGAGGAAGAAGGGAGAAGAUAAGCAGGGAGAUGGGGAAGAGGACAGGAGUGGCGGCAGCUCUGACUGUGACUUGGAGGAGGACCAAGGCAUUGCCAAGGAUGAUGAGAAGGAAGACAAGGAUUAGUCUUCCCGUGCUGGAGCAGCAGCACAUGCCCUGCACAC